rnacentral:rRNA from 1 species
GGGCAGCAUGAUUGAAGCUUGCUUCAUCGAUGGCGACCGGCGCACGGGUGAGUAACACGUAUCCAACCUGCCGAUGACUCUGGGAUAGCCUUUCGAAAGAAAGAUUAAUACCGGAUGGCAUAAUUCUUCCGCAUGGUAGAAUUAUUAAAGAAUUUCGGUCGUCCAUGGGGAUGCGUUCCAUUAGGUUGUUGGCGGGGUAACGGCCCACCAAGCCAUCGAUGGAUAGGGGUUCUGAGAGGAAGGUCCCCCACAUUGGAACUGAGACACGGUCCAAACUCCUACGGGAGGCAGCAGUGAGGAAUAUUGGUCAAUGGACGAGAGUCUGAACCAGCCAAGUAGCGUGAAGGAUGACUGCCCUAUGGGUUGUAAACUUCUUUUAUACGGGAAUAAAGUGCAGCACGUGUGCUGUUUUGUAUGUACCGUAUGAAUAAGGAUCGGCUAACUCCGUGCCAGCAGCCGCGGUAAUACGGAGGAUCCGAGCGUUAUCCGGAUUUAUUGGGUUUAAAGGGAGCGUAGGCGGAUGCUUAAGUCAGUUGUGAAAGUUUGCGGCUCAACCGUAAAAUUGCAGUUGAUACUGGGUGUCUUGAGUACAGUAGAGGUAGGCGGAAUUCGUGGUGUAGCGGUGAAAUGCUUAGAUAUCACGAAGAACUCCGAUUGCGAAGGCAGCCUGCUGGACUGAACUGACGCUGAUGCUCGAAAGUGU